rnacentral:rRNA from 1 species
UACGUAGGUGGCGAGCGUUGUCCGGAUUUACUGGGCGUAAAGAGCGCGCAGGCGGUCGUACAAGUCGCGUGUGAAAGCCCCCGGCUCAACUGGGGAGGGUCACGCGAUACUGUUCGACUCGAAGGCAGGAGAGGGAAGCGGAAUUCCUGGUGGAGCGGUGAAAUGCGCAGAUAUCAGGAGGAACACCGGUGGCGAAGGCGGGUCUCUGGGCCGAUACUGACGCUGAGGAGCGAAAGCGUGGGGAGCGAACAGG